CACUCCUACGGGAGGCAGCAGUGGGGAAUUUUACGCAAUGGGGGAAACCCUGACGUAGCGACACCGCGUGAGCGAAGAAGCCCUUUGGGGUGUAAAGCUCUGUCAGCUGGAACGAAAACAAUGACGGUACCAGCAGAGGAAGCAUCGGCUAACUACGUGCCAGCAGCCGCGGUAAGACGUAGGAUGCGAGCGUUGUCCGGAUUUAUUGGGCGUAAAGAGUUCGUAGGUGGUUUGUUAAGUUUGGUGUUAAAGAUCGGGGCUCAACCCUGGGACUGCACUGAAUACUGGCAGACUCGAGUGUGGUAGAGGCUAGUGGAAUUCCCAGUGUAGCGGUGAAAUGCGUAGAUAUUGGGAAGAACACCGGUGGCGUAGGCGACUAGCUGGGCCAUAACUGACGCUGAGGAACGAAAGCCAGGGGAGCGAAUGGGAUUAGAAACCCUAGUAGUCCCAUGA
rnacentral:rRNA from 1 species